rnacentral:tRNA from 1 species
GCGCCCGUAGCUCAGUUUGAUAGAGCAGCGGUUUCCUAAACCGUUGGUCGCAGGUUCAAGUCCUGCCGGGCGCA